rnacentral:lncRNA from 1 species
AUAGGCACAAGUGACAGAAGCUGAUCCUUAGCCUUCAGAAUGCUUCUCUGAAGGGAGUUUUGAUGCAGAACAGGUGGCUUGGCAGAUAAAUCUCCACCUGGAUAAAUCAUGAGACAUCAAAGUAGCCUGUUCUGACCUUUCUUCCUGUAAAUCCAGACAAUGCUUCUGCUACCUAAGGUGGAACCAAAGAAGAUAUUAUUUUCUGCCUUGGCUUUGUAGUGAUUUUUUCUUAAUUUUCUUUAUUUUUACUUUAGUUAUUUUUGUCAUUCAUAUCUAUGUUUUUAAGUAAUUUUGGAUUAUUGCUAGGGUAAAAUAUGUGCAGAAAAAUUAGAAUGUUUGUAUAUUUGUAAUAGAAGAAAAAAAUGAAAUCUACAAGGUUUAAUUCUGAGGUAAUUUCUCAUUCCUAAUCAGGUAAGACCUCACAGGGGUUAGAUGAGACUUUGGCCCUCUCUUUGGAACAAUUUAAAACAGAGCUUCUUUUUUUAAAAAAAUGAAUUUAUUUCAGUUAAAAAUAAAAAGGCAUUUUAUUUUUAGCCUUUGCAAAAAAAAAAAAAUCAGAGUCUAUAUCCACAAGACAACCUAAGAGUUGUCACCAAACUGCCAGAUAACAAGCCUAUAUUGUCCAGGAAAAUAUAUUACAAUUUUAUCUACUUGUACUGUUCAAUAAAACAUUAGUAUCUCAGCAUUUUUAUUUAACAAUAGGCAACCUUAGGCCAGUAAUUAUGCAACAAUUAUAAUCAUAAAAACUGUCCCCUGCUGCUCACCUAGAAACAAGAAUAUAUUAAACCAGAACUAACCAUCUAAGAGGAAAGCAACAAACUACGCUCAUUUUUAAUGCCCCUGCAGUGCACCAUGGGAAGCUAAUAAUUCACCCUCUAAUUAGUAUCCCUUCUGCUGCUGUUGGCGCAAGGACAGACAAAGAGGUGCCAUCAACAACUCACCUGUGACAAUGGACCUCAUCUUUAAGAGAAUGGACCUGAUGGAGAGGAUGUGUUGUGCUUGUUUCUUCAGUCUUCACCCUGUAGACUUUCUGAGGCUGAACAGCAAGUUGACAAAAAAAUAUAUGCUGAAAGUUGUGAUACUUCAAAGGACAUAUAAUCUGCUGUGCUUUUCAAAACCCCAAAAUAGGUAAGAUGAAAUCAAAUUUUAUACUAGAUUGUGUUUUGCCAGUCAGGCACCAUUAUAAUUUGACAGGCAUGAUGUGAUGCAAUGAAAUGUGAAUGACAUAACCUAGCGUGACAUAACUGAUAGGCCAACAUAGAAAUUUAAUAAACAUUUCCAAUAAGUUUGCUAUACUCUGCCU